rnacentral:rRNA from 1 species
GACGAACCGUGCGAACGUUGUUCGGAAUCACUGGGCGUAAAGGGCGCGUAGGCGGCCCUGUAAGUCCGUUGUGAAAGUCAAAGGCUCAACCUUUGAAAGCCGAUGGAUACUGCAGGGCUAGAGUCCGGAAGAGGCGAGUGGAAUUCCUGGUGUAGCGGUGGAAUGCGCAGAUAUCAGGAGGAACACCAAUAGCGAAGGCAGCUCGCUGGGACGGUACUGACGCUAAGGCGCGAAAGCGUGGGGAGCGAACAGG